GUACGUUUCUUUCUCUCUCUCUCCACCCCAUAAUUUGGAGUCUUAAACUCCAUUUUUAUGGUUGAGUAAGUUUCAUACUUCUUUGCCAUUUAUUACAAGUGAAUUUGCACUUUUAUUUGAUUGUUUACUCUAAAUAUUUGAUAUUGUAGUAAUUUCAUAACAAUUAUCAUGGAAACAGGUGUUAUUAACACAUUCCCUAGCUUCAAAAUACCUCCUUCCUAUAUCACAAUGAAAAAUUACUUGCUUUUUUAUCCUGUAAAGACUGCAUUUUUAACUAGUAAUUCAAGAAUUAAGUUAUCCUCCAAGUUUCAUAUAUGUUGCUUAAAUCCUUCUAGAAGUCACAAUUCCAUAGGAACUAAAACUUUGGUUGAAAAUGAAGUAGAAGAAGAAGAAGAAGAUGAUGAUGAUGAUGAUGAGGGUUCUAGUGAUAGUAAAAAUCAGGUUAGGGAGGAACCGUCCGAGGUGGACUGGGAAGCAAAAUUCCUUGGAAAGAUGGAGCCAUCUGGAGAUGUUUUACCUGAAAAGAAGAAAAAGAAAGUAAAUUCUAGAUUGCUUAAGAAUACAGAAACAAUGGAUUGGUGUAUGAAUGCUAGGAAAGUUGCUCUUAAGUCUAUUGAAGCUAGAGGAUUGACUCCUGUUAUAAAGAGUAUGGUUGGUGGAAAUAAAAAGACCAAAAAGAAGAAGAAGAAGAAGAUUAAAUCUAAGGUUGAUAAGAAAAGACCGGAUGAAGAAAUUGAUGGAGAGUUGGAAUUUGACUCGGAUGAUGAGGAUUUCGAUUUGGAUGUUGAAGUUCCUCUAGGUAAUAGAAGUGACCUUAAAAUGACAGUAAGCAUGUUUGCUGAUGGUAUGUUUGAGGAACAGAAAGCUAAAAACAUGGAAACGUUUGUCCAAAGGCUAUCUGAAUUUGCAGGACCAUCGGAUCGUAAGAAAGAAAUUAGCUUGAAUAAAGCAAUUGUUGAAGCACUGACAGCUGAAGAAGUGUUAGAAGUCACUUCUGAGACAGUCUCAGCUGUUGCGAAAGGGCUUACCCCAUCGCCUCUUUCUCCAUUAAAUAUAGCCACAUCAUUGCAUAGGAUAGCGAAGAACAUGGAGAAAGUUUCAAUGACUAGGAGCAGAAGGUUGGCAUUUGCUCGCCAAAGAGAGAUGUGUAUGCUUGUAAGCAUUGCUAUGACUGCUUUGCCUGAGUGCUCAGGACAGGGUGUUUCAAAUAUUGCGUGGGCACUGUCAAAAAUUGGUGGUGAGCUUCUCUAUUUGACAGAAAUGGACAGAGUGGCAGAAGUAGCAUCGACUAUGGUUGAGGAGUUCAAUUCACAAAAUGUUGCUAAUAUAGCUGGGGCCUUUGCAUCAAUGCAGCACUCUGCUCCGGAACUGUUUUCGAGGUUAGCGAGAAGGGCCUCGGACAUAAUUCAUACUUUUCAGCCUCAAGAGAUUGCUCAAGUCUUGUGGGCUUUUGCUUCUCUGUAUGAGCAACCUGGUCCCAUGCUUGAUGCACUUGAUAAUGUUUUUAGUGAUGGUAAUCAGUUCAAAUGCCGCUUGAAAGAUGAUAAAUUACCUUAUAGUAAAGAAAGAACACCGGAUGGUACUGCAGAUGUUGAUUCUGGAGCAAUUAACUCUCCCGUGCUAAGUUUUAAUAGGGAUCAGCUAGGUAAUAUAUCAUGGUCUUAUGCUGUUCUUGGGCAGAUGAAUCGAGUUUUCUUCACCAAUGUAUGGAAUGCUCUCAGCCAUUUUGAGGAGCAACGGAUAUAUGAGCAGUAUAGAGAAGACAUUAUGUUUGCUUCCCAAGUUCAUCUUGUGAACCAAUGUCUCAAGCUAGAGUACUCACAUCUUGACUUAUCCCUGAAAGGUGAACUGGAGGAAAAAAUUUCCAGUGCUGGAAGGACAAAACGGUUCAAUCAGAAGGUUACUUCCUCAUUUCAGAAGGAGAUUGCUUGCCUUCUUGUAAGCACUGGGCUAGAUUGGGUAAGAGAACAUGCCGUGGUUGGUUAUACCCUGGACGCAGCGGUCAUUGACAAAAGAGUUGCUCUUGAGAUAGACGGCCCUACUCAUUUCUCAAGGAACUCAGGAUCCCCCUUGGGACAUACAAUGCUAAAGCGGAGAUUUAUCACUGCUGCUGGUUGGAAGCUCGUAUCUGUCCCUCAUCAGGAAUGGGAAGAGCUCAAAGGAGGGUUUGAGCAGUUAGAGUAUCUCCGUGGCAUUAUCAAAGAUCAUUUCAAUGAAGGGAGCUUCAAUGUGGAAAUGGAAGAUGGUCAUUGAAGAAUAGAAUAGGAAAACCAUAACUGUAUUUUAUUGUGCUUCACUCGUUCCUUCUUCGUUCCUCUAUCAUAUAGCAGGUAUCUUUUUACCCAAGCCAUAAAGUUGUUCCUGUGUUCUGAGAUGAUCUGGCUACAUCUAUAUGCAAGUAACUACUUUAUUAAGGUGUAAAGGCGUCGUUUCAAAGGUAACCGGUUAGGUUGACGAAAAUGCAGUAUGCAAAUAACUCAUUGGAAAAGAAGGUGGAAAUCUUGACAAAAGAAUUUCGUUUUGCUUGAGGGAUGGAAACUGACACUAUAAUGUAGUAGUUUUUAUUUCCAAUGUGUUUGGAUACUAUUUUCAAGAGAGAAUUUGUAUGUUUUCUCCAUGCAUUAUUAGAAAAAAUAAUGCAUAUACUA